rnacentral:rRNA from 1 species
UACGUAGGGUGCAAGCGUUGUCCGGAAUUAUUGGGCGUAAAGAGCUCGUAGGUGGCCUGUCGCGUCGGCUGUGAAAACUCGGGGCUCAACUCCGAGCUUGCAGUCGAUACGGGCAGGCUAGAGUUCGGCAGGGGGAGACUGGAAUUCCUGGUGUAGCGGUGGAAUGCGCAGAUAUCAGGAGGAACACCGGUGGCGAAGGCGGGUCUCUGGGCCAUUACUGACGCUGAGGAGCGAAAGCGUGGGGAGCGAACAGG